CGGGGUGUGGCGCAGCUUGGUAGCGCAUCUGCUUUGGGAGAAAAGGGCCGCUAGUUCGAAUCCAAUUGACCGGA
rnacentral:tRNA from 1 species